rnacentral:rRNA from 1 species
CCUACGGGCGGCAGCAGUGGGGAAUAUUGGGCAAUGGGCGCAAGCCUGACCCAGCAACGCCGCGUGAAGGAAGAAGGCUUUCGGGUUGUAAAAUUCUUUUAAGAGGGAAGAGCAGAAGACGGUACCUCUUGAAUAAGCCACGGCUAACUACGUGCCAGCAGCCGCGGUAAUACGGAGGUGGCAAGCGUUGUCCGGAUUUACUGGGUGUAAAGGGCGUGCAGCCGGGAAGACAAGUCAGAUGUGAAAUCCCGCGGCUCAACCGCGGAACUGCAUUUGAAACUGUUUUUCUUGAGUACCGGAGAGGUCAUCGGAAUUCGUUGUGUAGCGGUGAAAUGCGUAGAUAUAAGGAAGAACACCAGUGGCGAAGGCAGAUGACUGGACGGCCACUGACGGUGAGGCGCGAAAGCGUGGGGAGCAAACAGGAUUAGAUACCCGUGUAGUC